GGGCCCGUGGUCUAGCAUGGAUUAAGACGCUGGCCUGCGGAGCCGGAGGUCCUGGGUUCAAAUCCCAGCGGGCCCGCCA
rnacentral:tRNA from 1 species